rnacentral:rRNA from 1 species
GACGAACGCUGGCGGCGCGCUUAACACAUGCAAGUCGAACGUGAAGCCCGGGCUUGCCCGGGUGGAAAGUGGCGAACGGGUGCGUAACACGUGAGCAACCUGCCCCGAAGACCGGGAUAACACCGGGAAACCGGUGCUAAUACCGGAUGCCCUCAUCAUGUCGCAUGGCGAGAUGAGGAAAUGGAUUCCGCUUCGGGAUGGGCUCGCGGCUUAUCAGCUUGUUGGUGGGGUAACGGCUCACCAAGGCUACGACGAGUAGCUGGUCUGAGAGGAUGUCCAGCCACACUGGGACUGAGACACGGCCCAGACUCCUACGGGUGGCAG